rnacentral:rRNA from 1 species
CACGUAGGGCGCGAGCGUUGUCCGGAAUUAUUGGGCGUAAAGAGCUCGUAGGCGGUUCGUCACGUCGGCUGUGAAAUCCCGAGGCUCAACCUCGGGUCUGCAGUCGAUACGGGCGGACUGGAGUACUGCAGGGGAGACUGGAAUUCCUGGUGUAGCGGUGAAAUGCGCAGAUAUCAGGAGGAACACCGGUGGCGAAGGCGGGUCUCUGGGCAGUAACUGACGCUGAGGAGCGAAAGCGUGGGGAGCGAACAGG